rnacentral:rRNA from 1 species
UCCUCUUCGGACGCGCCCACACAGGUCCUGCAUGGCUCUCGUCAGCUCGUCUCGUGAGAUGUUGGGUUAAGUCCCGCAACGAGCGCAACCCACGUCCUUAGUUGCCAUCAUUCAGUUGGGCACUCUAGGGAGACUGCCGGUGAUAAGCCGCGAGGAAGGUGUGGAUGACGUCAAGUCCUCAUGGCCCUUACGGGAUGGGCUACACACGUGCUACAAUGGCGGUGACAGUGGGACGCGAAGGAGCGAUCUGGAGCAAAUCCCCAAAAGCCGUCUCAGUUCGGAUUGCACUCUGCAACUCGAGUGCAUGAAGGCGGAAUCGCUAGUAAUCGUGGAUCAGCAUGCCACGGUGAAUACGUUCCCGGGCCUUGUACACACCGCCCGUCACACCAUGGGAGUUGGU